rnacentral:rRNA from 2 species
AUUAAUAAGCGGAGGAAAAGAAACCAACCGGGAUUCCCUGAGUAAGGGCGACUGAAACGGGAGGAGCCCAGCGCAUAACCUCGCGGUCCGUUGCCGGCCGUCGAGGGGUGUUGCGUUUCGGUGGACCCGCCCCGCUCGUUCCGUGUACCGCCUAAGUCAUUGCUUGAAAGCAGCCCCGAGGAGGGUGAUAGGCCCGUGUGGCGGAGGCCUGUAAAAAGGACAUGUAGCGGAUCGGGCGGAGGGGUCUUCACCGUAGAGUCGGGUUGCUUAGUACUGCAGCCCUAAGCAGGUGGUAAACUCCAUCUAAGGCUAAAUACUACCACGAGUCCGAUAGAGAACAAGUACCGUGAGGGAAAGUUGAAAAGGACUUUGAAGAGAGAGUUCAAGAGGACGUGAAACCGUUAGAAGCUUAAACGGGUGGAACCGUGAAGGUCGAACGAGGGGAUUCAGCCCGUCGGGCUCCGGUGGUGGACGGCGGUACUCGGCUGCUGCCGAAGGUAAUGACCCAGCGUGAGAGUUGUAUAGCUGUGGCCCCGUCCCCGCCCCCGGUAGCCAGUGGCGGGCUUACUUCUCCCUCCAGUAGGUCGCCGCGACCCGUUGCGGGGACCCCCAAGGCCGUGCCGGACUGGUAGCCCAGAGUUCGCUCCGGGUGACGACUGGCUGCGGUUCUGACGGGCCCCUGCGACGGUCACUGCCAGGAGGCCUGCUCCGCCCUCGGGCGGGCGGGCCUCUCGCGGCGUGCAAGGGAUCGGUAAUCCACCCGACCC